UACGAAGGGGGCGAGCGUUGUUCGGAUUUACUGGGCGUAAAGGGCGCGCAGGCGGCGAGUUUUGUCAGGCGUGAAAGCCCCGGGCUCAACCUGGGAAUUGCGCUUGAAACGGGCUUGCUGGAGACCGGGAGAGGAGAGUGGAAUUCCCAGUGUAGAGGUGAAAUUCGUAGAUAUUGGGAAGAACACCGGUGGCGAAGGCGGCUCUCUGGACCGGAUCUGACGCUGAGGCGCGAAAGCGUGGGGAGCAAACAGG
rnacentral:rRNA from 1 species